rnacentral:rRNA from 1 species
UACGGGGGGGGCAAGCGUUGUUCGGAAUUACUGGGCGUAAAGGGCUCGUAGGUGGCCAACUAAGUCAGACGUGAAAUCCCUCGGCUUAACCGGGGAACUGCGUCUGAUACUGGAUGGCUUGAGUUUGGGAGAGGGACGCGGAAUUCCCGGUGUAGCGGUGAAAUGCGCAGAUAUCGGGAGGAACACCAGUAGCGAAGGCGACACUCUGGGCCGGUACUGACGCUGAGGAGCGAAAGCGUGGGGAGCAAACAGG